rnacentral:antisense_RNA from 16 species
CUCUAUGGUGGACUGGAUGGGGCAGCCGAAAGACUGGCCGGUUGGUUGUAUCCGGUAACGCUAACUCCAUUCAUUUCACCACCAAU